AAUGAACGCUGGCGGCAGGCCUAACACAUGCAAGUCGAACGAUCCGUGCCUUCGGGCACAAUGGAUAGUGGCGGACGGGUGCGUAACACGUGGGAAUUUGCCCUUGAGUAAGGAAUAACAGUUAGAAAUGACUGCUAAUACCUUAUAAUAUCUUCGGAUCAAAGAUUUAUCGCUCAAGGAUAAGCCCGCGGCUGAUUAGCUUGUUGGUGGGGUAAUGGCCUACCAAGGCAACGAUCAGUAGCUGGUCUGAGAGGAUGAUCAGCCACACUGGGACUGAGACACGGCCCAGACUCCUACGGGAGGCAGCAGUGAGGAAUAUUGGACAAUGGGGGCAACCCUGAUCCAGCCAUGCCGCGUGAGUGAAGAAGGCCCUAGGGUUGUAAAGCUCUUUCAAUCGUGAGGAUAAUGACCGUAACGAUACAAGAAGCCCCGGCUAACUCCG
rnacentral:rRNA from 1 species